rnacentral:ncRNA from 1 species
AGAUCGACGAUGAUGAGGACAUGAAUGAUCAAGUACCAGUUUUUAGAGAGAGAAUCCUUGGCUGAGAGAUUCUUAACUAGGGUUGAUGAUUUACCCCCUUUGAGUCAUAAUAGCGAAAAGAAAAGUAGCUAUUAUCGGUAGUCACCGUUAUCUAUAUGAGCAUUUAUUUAGGAAGUAGGGAUAUUUCCUUCAUAAAUGAAAUUUGGGUGGAACCACGGCACAAUCGUCCCAUAG